UUCGGGCAGUCACGUGGCGGACGGGUGCGUAACACGUGGGGAACCUGCCCCGAGGUGGGGGAUAUCCGUCGGAAACGGCGGGCAAUCCCGCAUGAGAUCGGCUCGCGCAGGCGGGUCGAGGAAAGCCGCGAGGCGCCUUGGGAGGGUCCUGCGGCCGAUUAGGUAGACGGCGGGGUAACGGCCCACCGUGCCGAUGAUCGGUAGCUGGUCUGAGAGGACGGCCAGCCACACGGGGACUGAGAGACGGCCCCGACUCCUACGGGAGGCAGCAGCAAGGAAUCUUCCGCAAUGGGCGAAAGCCUGACGGAGCAACGCCGCGUGGGGGAUGAAGCCUUUCGGGGUGUAAACCUCUUUUCUCGGGGACGAAGAUCUGACGGUACCCGAGGAAUAAGGACCGGCUAACUACGUGCCAGCAGCCGCGGUAAUACGUAGGGUCCGAGCGUUGUCCGGAGUUACUGGGCGUAAAGCGCGCGCAGGUGGCGUCGCAAGUCUGGCGUGAAAGCCCCCGGCUCAACCGGGGAGGGUCGUCGGAUACUGCGGUGCUUGAGGGAGGCAGGGGUCGGUGGAAUGCCCGGUGUAGUGGUGAAAUGCGUAGAGAUCGGGCGGAACACCCGUGGCGAAGGCGGCCGACUGGGCCUAACCUGACACUGAGGCGCGAAGGCGUGGGGAGCGAACGGGAUUAGAUACCCCGGUAGUCCACGCAGUAAACGAUGCAGACUGGGCGUGGGGGGACUUGACCCCCUCCGUGCCGGAGCCAACGCGUGAAGUCUGCCGCCUGGGGAGUACGGCCG
rnacentral:rRNA from 1 species